UACGGAGGGGGCUAGCGUUGUUCGGAAUUACUGGGCGUAAAGGGCGCGUAGGCGGCGCGAUAAGUUGGGCGUGAAAGGCCCGGGCUCAACCCGGGGACUGCGCUUGAUACUGUCGCGCUGUGAGUCCGGGAGAGGAUGGCGGAAUUCCCAGUGUAGAGGUGAAAUUCGUAGAUAUUCGCAAGAACACCAGUGGCGAAGGCGGCUCACUGGCCCGGUACUGACGCUGAGGUGCGAAAGCGUGGGGAGCAAACAGG
rnacentral:rRNA from 1 species